CCGGAGGAAGGUGGGGAUGACGUCAAGUCCUCAUGGCCCUUACCGGGCUGGGCUACACACGUGCUACAAUGGUGGUGACAAUGGGACGCUACCUCGCGAGAGGACGCAAAUCUCAAAAAGCCAUCUCAGUUCGGAUUGUUCUCUGCAACUCGAGAGCAUGAAGUCGGAAUCGCUAGUAAUCGUGGAUCAGCAUGCCACGGUGAAUACCGGUUCCCGGGCCUU
rnacentral:rRNA from 1 species